GCUGGCGGCAGGCUUAACACAUGCAAGUCGAGCGGAAACGAUGAUAGCUUGCUAUCAGGCGUCGAGCGGCGGACGGGUGAGUAAUACUUAGGAAUCUACCUAGUAGUGGGGGAUAGCUCGGGGAAACUCGAAUUAAUACCGCAUACGUCCUACGGGAGAAAGGGGGCAACUUGUUGCUCUCGCUAUUAGAUGAGCCUAAGUCGGAUUAGCUAGAUGGUGGGGUAAAGGCCUACCAUGGCGACGAUCUGUAGCUGGUCUGAGAGGAUGAUCAGCCACACCGGGACUGAGACACGGCCCGGACUCCUACGGGAGGCAGCAGUGGGGAAUAUUGGACAAUGGGGGGAACCCUGAUCCAGCCAUGCCGCGUGUGUGAAGAAGGCCUUUUGGUUGUAAAGCACUUUAAGCAGUGAAGAAGACUCUUCGGUUAAUACCCGGGGACGAUGACAUUAGCUGCAGAAUAAGCACCGGCUAACUCUGUGCCAGCAGCCGCGGUAAUACAGAGGGUGCAAGCGUUAAUCGGAAUUACUGGGCGUAAAGCGAGCGUAGGUGGCUUGAUAAGUCAGAUGUGAAAUCCCCGGGCUUAACCUGGGAACUGCAUCUGAAACUGUUAGGCUAGAGUAGGUGAGAGGGAAGUAGAAUUUCAGGUGUAGCGGUGAAAUGCGUAAAGAUCUGAAGGAAUACCGAUGGCGAAGGCAGCUUCCUGGCAUCAUACUGACACUGAGGCUCGAAAGCGUGGGUAGCAAACAGGAUUAGAUACCCUGGUGGUCCACGCCGUAACGA
rnacentral:rRNA from 1 species